AUGGUUUUUGCUGUCCUUACACAGCCACGGAGACAUGAAGCUCUGAAGGCUCCUCCCACUACGAGUCUGUGCUCGCCCUCACCCUUUGUCCUCCCCUACCCCACUAGCCUGACCUACAAGAAUGUGAUUAGGGGCUGCAGGGCCGCCUGGAGGGUCAUUUUGAGCAUUGAGCAGAAGACCUACACCUUGGACAAGAAGCUGCAGCUGAUUAAGGACCAUCUGAAGAAAGUGGAGGCCAAGCUGAGAUCAUCUGUACCGUAUUCCUGGAAUUGUUGAAUAAAUACUUAAUAGCCAGUACAACUAAUCCAGAGAGUAAGGUCUUCUUUCUGAAAAUGAAGGGUGAUUACUUCCGGUACCUUGCUGAAGUUGCAUGUGGUGAUGAUCAAAAAUAAACGAUAGAUAAUUCCCAAGGAGCUUAGCAAGAGACAUUUGAUAUGCGCAAGAAAGAUGCAACCCCACACCCAAUCCGCCUGGGGCUUCCUCAUAACUUCUCUGUAUUUUACUAUGAGAUUCUUAAUAACCCAGAGCUUGCCUUCACGCUGGCUACAAAGGCUUUUGAUGAGGCCAUUGCUGAACUUGAUACACUGAAUGAAGACUCCUACAAAGACAGCACCCUCAUCAUGCAGUUGCUUAGAGACAACCUAACACUUUGGACAUCAGACAGUGCAGGAGAAGAAUGUGAUGCAGCAGAAGGAGCUGAAAACUAAAUCCAUACAGGGUGUCAUCCUUCUUUCCUUCAAGAAACCUUUUUACACAUCUCCAUUCCUUAUUCCACUUGGAUUUCCUAUAGCAAAGAAGCCAUUCAUGUGUAUGGAAUCAACUGUUUAUAGUCUUUUCACACUGCAGCUUUGGGAAAACUUCAUUCCUUGAUUUGUGUUUGUCUUGGCCUUCCUGGUGUACAGUUACUGCUGUAGAAAAGUAUUAAUAGCUUCAUUUCAUA